GCAGGCUCUGCACUGAGAAGAGUGAGCCCGAUGCCGGGCUCCAACUCCCGAACUAUGAAAUCAUGACCUGAAGUGAAGUCUGAUGCUCAACCAACUAAGCUACCCAGGCACCCCCGUUGUUGCUUCUCCUUUGGGGGACAGAUGUAGGUCUACGAGCCCUCCUGGUUGUAUUUACAAGUUAUGAUUGCCUCAUCAUUAUUUUCAUUGUUACAAAAUGAGCUCAGUUGUUGACAUAAGUUCUUUCUGCAUUUGAGCAGAUAUUCUUUCUUUUGCGUUUUGCAUGAAAGUCCAUAACUUUCCCUGGAGCCAUCCAGCUACUAUAAUAUAAACAUAUCCACAGUCCAAGAAAAACUGUAUAUAGGCUUCUGGAAUUUUGCUGGCUCAUUCUGGGUCAAGAGCCAGUGCUGCCUGUCAGAAACUCCCGUGUACUCGUUUUGACUCUUUCAAGUCAGGCUGCCAAGUUUACCUCUUUUAGAGACUGAGCAAAUCUUAAAAAGAGCACUACACCUAUUCCCCUAACAUCUUUAUAUUUUUCUCUUGGAGUCAGAUAAGAGAAGAUGAAUACUAUUUUAUCACAAUAAGGUUGUUAUAUUUUUAAGUCUUUGAGUUUUCUUUUAUUUUAAAAGUUCUUUAUAACUGCCCUUAUAUUUUCAUCAUCUGGUCAUUCAAUACAUAAAUAUUCUGAUGUAUCAGCACCUGAAGCAGGUCUGGGAUGGAGAAUGAUAUGGAAAUCUAGGUGGGAUCCUUCCCUGGCCUUAAAGGCGCUCUCGGUUUAGUGGAGGGUAUGCAGCAUGAAGGAAAUGUAUAUAUAAUGAAACACACUCAAGUAGCAGUGGGAGAAAUAUGUGAUAAUGGUGAAGAGGAGAGAAAAUGAACUCUGCUUGGGAAAGUUUUGCAUAAGUAACAUUUAUACCCAUUAACUGUGGAAAAAGACAAUCCAGGAUGCAAAAAAAACCACAAUAUAUUUGGGGGAACAGAGUCAUGGAUGGGUCCGGUGUACUUGGGGAGUAGUAAGAAGUAUAGAAUUACCAGACAGGGUAAAAAGCCUAUAGAAGUGGAAAUAGAGAGGUCGAAGACGUGGGCCAAAUGUCUACUUGGGAGGAAUCUGAUCGCCCUGCCAAGAAGCUUAAACAUCACUGUGCAAGAAAUUGGGAGCUUUGGGAGAGUUUUACACAAAGGAGGGACAUGAUGAAAGUUUGAUAUUAGAAAGAUAAUUCUGGGGGCACCUGGGUGACUCAGUCAGUUGAGUGUCGGAGUGUUAGUUUCGGCUCCGGUCAUGAUCUCAGAUUUCAUGAGUUUGAGCCCCGCAUCAGGCUCUGUGCUACUUGUUUGCUCUUCUCUCUCCCCCUUCCACCUCUGUCCCUCCUUCUCUCUCUCUCUCUUUCUUUCUUAGUAAAUAAAUAAACUAAAAAAUACUUAUUUUUUAAAAAGAAAGACAAUUCUGAAAGUUAGCUCACAUGGAAGAUUUCUUUAAAGGGAACAACCUGCCUGAUUAUUGGUAAAGAAACUUAAUAAUACUCUGUUGAAAAGGUGAACAGGGUUUGGACAAAGACGGUGGCAUUUGAAAGAGAACUAACAGGAUUUAUUGACCACACGACUGAUAGUCCAGUGAAUGAGGAAGCAGCUGAGGCCAACUCCAAGACUUCUCUGUCUCAGUCAUUUGGGCCGAUGGUGAAGAUAAUAAACAGGAGAGUCAAGGAAAGGCAUUGCCUGGGGGUGAGUUCGUAAGUGGAAGUACAUAGAGAAAUACCAGGUUGUAAGCAGGGAGGCCAAGAAUCUGGUCUUUUGUGGUAGAAUACGGAUUAGUUCAAUCAGCCUCCAUUCCAGCCCUUUUCAACGUGUCUAGCUGUCCUAUAUCCCAUAUUGUGCUACGAUAUAAUAGUGCUAAAAAUCUACCUUUCCCAGACUUCCUUGCAGAUAUUUAUCAAACGUACACCCCUGAGUUUUGGAAGGUGGAAGUGGACAUCCUGAGGUGGAUACCAGCUCUUUCCACUGGCAACCAUGACCUUGGGUGUUUGUUACUUGUGGGGCAGCUAUAGUAGAGUUGUCACUGUCCAGUCUUUAGCCUGACGGUGUUGAAAGGCAGUGUGGGGACAUUCGGUGUGCUGGCAGAGGUUGUGGAAGAGGUAGCAGAGUGGCUCUGGAGCUAGCAGCCUUCUGCUUCUCCAAUCUCUUAUCCAUCACAGAGGCAUUGUCUCCCAUGGAAGUACCAAUAAUGUUGUUCUGGGAGGAAAUUUAGGGUCCAUUCCUCCAUCUUUCUACAAAUCUUAAAGCACCAAGAUCUUCUUUUUUUAACCUACCUGGAAAUGGUACCAGUUAUCUUCAUCUGAUAUCUAAUUCACCUUUCAAAUGGAAAGAGACUUUAUAUGAGAAUUCCUUAAAUACUGUUCUUAUAAAAUCAUUACGUAUGUUUGACAUUCUGCAUUGUUGACUGUUACUGACAAUGUGCUGUCUUCUCAGUUGUGGGGUUAAGGCAGACAUGACCUUGUUUUAAACUCCUUUGAGUGCCCAGGGCCUAGAACAGUGCUUUGCACUUGGUGGUGGCCAAUAAACCUGUUAAGUUCCAUUGCAUUUAAUUGAAUUGAAUGAACAAUUUGUGCUCUCCUAAUAGUGUCAUAUAAUACAGUUGGCAAUCUCCCUAAGUCUGAUAGUUGUUUUAUAUGAUAAAUUGCCCAUAUUGUUAGUAUCCAAAAUGCUUUGAUCUUAAAUUUUUUAGAAUUCUCAAAUGCAUGCCAUCUGGCUUCAGUGACUCAUGGAAAUUUAAUGUCUUGAGUUGUAUUCACCACCUGUUGUUUCUUUUUUUAUAUUUAUCUAGUGAAUCAUCUUUGUUUUCAAUGAAAAGUAUUCUUUAGUAAAAAUUCUACAACUAUCCUGUCAGUGAUGAUCACUGAUUGAGGGAUACAGAGAAACAAUUCAACCUUCACUGACCCUUAAAUGCUCCUGUCCUCUCCCGUAAGUAUGUGAUUGCAUUUUGAGUUCUUUAGGAACAACCAGACAGAGAUCACUUUCAACCCUUAGACGAAGAAUCAGACGAUUCUUAUAGAAGAGUGUUUUUUCCCCCGUAUAUUUCACCUGACUUUGUUAUAGCAUCUCUUGCAUUUCAGCAGUAUUCAUAUCUGGUAUUCUACGCCAAUGUUGCUGUCUCUUCCACGUGUUGUAUUUUUUUCUUAUGGACAUUUAAUACUUUUAAUAUUUUCUAUGGCAGGGUGGCUUCAAAAGGCUCCCCACACAUUUCUGUAUACUGGAUCAACUAGAGGACAUAUAAGGGAUAUAGAUUCCCUUUCCUAAACUUGUAGCAAGCAACAGAAACCCAGCUCGAACUGGAUAAAAGGAUUUUAAAAAGCCCUGAGUAGAGAAGACUUCAGACAUAGUGCACCUGGAUUUCUUGUUCCAUUUCUUUGAGAUUUUCUUGGUUCUGCUCCUUCUGUGUUGGCUUCAUCUUUAGGUUUCUCCAUAGUUGCAAGACAGCCAUGAACAACAUCAGGAGUUAUAUGCUGCCUUGUUAUAUCCAUUGAACAGAAUUCCUGGCUUUGAUUUCUUUGGGCCACCCUCUAAUAGGGAGGGUGGAUCCAUUCUUGGAAUAAACUGCAUGAGCUGUAUUUCAUGAGUGUUACCCAAUGAAGGAAACCUGAAGGAAUUUCGGGAAGGAAUCUAUGCAAUCUCUUCUUCCCGUGACCCAGGCUUGCCACUGUCUGAUCUAGACUCCAGGAGGCCAAUUGGGCAUAUUUCUCAGUAUCCUCAAGGUCAGAAUAACUUCCAUUAUAUAUUGUUGCAUCAUUUUUACUGUAUCUAUUUUUCCUGUUUCCUCUGUAAACAGUGCAAAGCUUGAGGGCAGAUUUCAUCUCUUUUAUACUUUUGUUAUUGAUGCUAGCCAGCUACAACGAAGGACUCCUCACUGUAGGAAACCAAAAAAUGCUCAUUAUCUGUCAUCAUUUUGAUUAUAUGGCCUUAGAAUAAUGCAAUUUUUAGCUUUAUUUUAUAUAAUUCUUGACUUAGGCUUUACCUCUUGGGUCAUGUUGAGCCAGAAAUAGGAAACCAGUCACUAAACACAUAUUAAGUCUUCCUGUAUGCCAGGCAUUUGGUGGGAGCUUGAAUGGGGAAAAUAGCAAGCACAUGUAGGAUAGUACAUGUAGUAUCUCAUUAAAAUAUUUCAAAGCAAAAGCACUGGGAACCUAUUUCCCAGAUCUGUGCCUCUCUGAUCACUUUUGGAAUUCUCCUUACUCUCUUUGGUGCUCUUCCCAGAUUCCCAGUGCUAUUUUGUGGGUUGCCCCAUGUCUCUGUCUUUCUACAGCUGCAACUCACCGCCAGUCCUGGGAGGGCUCCUUUAUCUACCUGUUCAUCAAGCCAUUAUGGAGCACCGAUGAGGAUCUCCAGAUAGCUGAAGCACAUGACUUGUCUUUGGGACUUUACCAUUCAGCAGAAGUCUUACAUGCAAAUAAUAAUGUGAUGUGUGCCAGUAUACAAAUAAGCAUUGGAUCUAAUCCAAGCUUCCAGAACAAGGAAGUCAAGGCAACUUUCCCUGUGACCAUGAUGACUAUGGAUUAAAAAGCUCUUUUUUUGCAUCCGAGGAAUGCACUCCCCCUCCCCCAAGAUGUCCACAUCGUAAUCCUUUGAACUUGUGAAUAUGUUACCUUUGCAUGGCAAGAGGGAUAUGGCUGAUGUGAUUUAAAUUGAGGAUCUUCAGAUGGAGAGAUUAUCCUGGGUUCUCCAGUGAUAUGCAGCCAAACUCUACGGGAGGUCAGCCAAAAGGACUCAGAUUAUUACCCUAAAUGCUGUAAAGGAGGAUUUUCUUUUGCUUUUUGUUUUUUUUUAAAUGUGUUCCGAUUUUUUAAAAAUUCCUCAAAGAUGUCCACGAAUAUAUAAAUUUUCAAGGACAUUCACUUCCUUAGCUCCUCACUACAGCCUUAAAAAGCAGCUUGGAAAAGCAUUACUGUUACCAUUUUGCAGGAAACUGAGGCCCAGAGAGGUUAAGUGAUUUGCCUCAAGAUAUAAACUUAGAGCAACGAGAAGCUUCAAUUGUAACAAAUAUUAUUACCUCAUUAAAUCCUCACAGCAGGAGAUGAAGAAUGGUGGUUGUUUCUUUACUUUUUUUUUUUUUUUUCAUUUUAAUAUUUGGGAAAUUAAAGCUAAAUGGGUGAAGCAACCUAGUUAGCAAAAUGUAGCAACGUGGAAGAAGGUAUGACUCACAGCCUUUUUCAUUCCUAACUAAGCACCUGAGAUGUCAGUUUUUCUUCCCUGUUAAGAAACACUUUGUAAGACGUCUUGGCUCCUUCUCUUCUUCUGGAACUAAAUCCCAAGUAAAACGCUGACAGAGGAUCCAGCGGGGGAGUUCAGUGGCCUUUGCUCAGCUGAAUGGCCCACAGAAUCACCAAGGAGACAGGUUCUGGGUCAAUGCCGGGAGGAACCGUCCCCUUAUUAACUGGAUUAACUGCUCUGUCCCUUCUUCAAGCAAUGACUGGCAUCUCAGCAGAUGGCGGGGGUUCCGUUUCUGAAAUCGUUCAGAACAAAGCCUACUGAAGAGGUCUGUUGGAGCAAGGCCCUAGUUGUACUGUGGUCUUGACAUUUGUUUUGAAAAACCGGAAAGGGAAGAUGCUGUUCUUUGAUAGGAGGUUGUUCCUUGGGUUACCAUGGGUCACAUUAAGAAAGAAUAUCAGUUCAGGAAACCAGUUCUCCCUCAAGUUGGCCUCCUCUAUAUCCCUGAGAGAAAAUGGGUGUGUCCUCUAUGGCUCCACGUCAGCACUUGUCAAAGUGCAUUCCUUGGAACCCUGGUUCUGCCAGGUGGUCUGUGAAAGGAGGAUCCUGCGGUAAAAUAAAUUUAAAAAAUGCUACUACUGAUACUUUACCACUUAAAUUCCCAAACGUAUAAGAACAGAUUAAAAGCUUUGUUUUACUAGAAAAAAAGCUUUCUCAAAUUUAUUUUGAAUUUAUCUUAAAUUUGUUUCUCUACUCUUCCCUCCUACUCCUGCCGCCAUAAAACCAAAUAGAAGCAUAAUGUGAGAAACUUUCUCUUAUCAUUAGGGUUUUUUACCCUAAAAAUUUUUAGUAGGAUUUCAGAAGCAAGAGGAUAGAGCAAAAAAGGAGGAGAGGUGAAAUUCUGGCCAUUGUAUUGUUGCCUAGAGUGGAAAUCAUAAUACGUCUUCAGUUCUUGUGCAGCAAUCUGUAAUACGUGUAAUAUUUUCCUCAACUUAUUGUUUUGAGGAUAUUGCAGUUAUCAUUAAACUGUACUGAUGUGGUAUAAAAUACAAGGAAAACAAUGCAAACACCUUAAAACAAGAUCAUUUCUUUUUUCAGAAAUGACUUUAGCAAACGGCAUGUAAUACUUUGCAUGAUUAAAAAGACCAAACUGGGGGCACCUGGGUGGCUCAGUCAGUUGAGCGGCCCAACUUUGGCUCAGGUCAUGAUCUCAGAGUUUGUGAGUU